rnacentral:lncRNA from 1 species
GUUUUAAUUUAGGUCUCAAUUGAGUUUGCUACAUCACAUGUAAACCUAUCUACCCUGCUCUCAUUCACAUCACAUGCAAACGGCACAUCACAGGCAGUUAUAAUCGCAGCAUCAAAAUAAAGCUAAACAUUAAAUAGGUGAUGAUCAUGGAUUCUAAUUAGGUCGUAUUACAAGCACAUGCACGUCAAUCGAUCAAUUGGUCUUCAACUCUUGAAUUGGUUCCAAGCCUCCUAGAUUCGAUCCUUGACCAACUCUUGAUCCAAUCGCCAUCAACCACUUAGACCCCUGUCCAUCUCAUGCCUUGUCUUCAGCUUGACCGUUGACGUACAUCACAUCACAGAAAUACAACCAGAUGUAAAAUAAAAAUAAUAAUAAAUUACAUCUUCUUUUAGGAGGCACGCAGGCCUCUCAAAACAUCAAAUAAGAUGCAUGCAAG